CAAUGAACCAGAGCAUGUUUUUCUCCCAUCCAGGAGUAAUGUGUGGACUAGCCAGACCUUCCUCCGCAACGCUGUAGAAGGUCUGGCAAUGCGGGACAAGUUAGUGUUGGUACGUUGGCUCAGUGUUGUUGAGCCGUGUGCACGUUGUCAGCAGCAGAGGCUCUGUUCUGUUUGUUUGGAUGUCAGACAGACGUAUUAAAACGCUCUGCCUCGUUCCAUUCACACUGAGUUAAUUAAAUCAAUCCUGGUUACAUUCAGAUUAUUCUCCUUUCAGGAACUUGAUCAAUGAGUUCAAAGAUGUGACCUGAGGCGGAACAGCUGUAAGGUCCUACUCCUGCCCAUUGAAAAGCAGCUGUGCCGCCCCCCCCCGCCCUAAUGAUGUGGUUGCACACACAAACAUUGAGGUUGGAAUUGGACUGGUGGAAAUAAACAUGCAUCACUUGUGAGGAAAGCUCUGGAGAUAACCAAUUACAGACAACAAUUAACCUUUGUUUAUCCACGUGACUGACUGACGAUGGUAUGUGCAGCGCUUUUCGUGUGGCAUUUCCUAAUUGCUGCUGUUCUGGUUUGUUUAAAACAUCUCUUCAUUUCACUACUUGAAACACACAUUCAGACAUUUUGGGAAGUCAGUUUGUGUGCUGUAAAACUCAGUUAUAGUACAUGAGGAAAAAGCCAUGAGUUCAUAAUUUCUAUGGUCACAGAAGCUACGUAUCGAUAAUAGUAAUAGAUGGCACUUUUGUUGCCCGACGCUCCUAAAUCCUGUUAUCGCUUUACUGUCAACACUAAGGUGUAACGUAAAGGUUAAAACAUGUCUGAAGCCCUAUUCGUCUAAAUGAGCAUGUGAAUCUGCCAUGUCUGUAAUUUGAGCAAAAUUUUCACCGCAAAUUGCCUACUAUAUUUCGCCAAACCCAGAGGUUAUGUAAUAAUAUUAGCUGGCAUCUCUCUGAUUCGGCGUCGUAUUGGCUGUGUUGGCAUUGACUGAGCCUUGAUAUCACAUGUGGGGGAAAGUCUCAGUGAACUCCAGUAAAAUACACACUUCAUUUAUCCCCACGAAACGCAGACCUGGGGCGGUGAUUUUGAAAUCCCAUGAGGUCCCCUGGUAAUACUAGUCCCAUAUGAAUAGGGCUUUAAGCACAUUUCUACAUCAGGGUUCCCCCCAAUAGUUUCUGUGAUAACAGAAUCAUGGAGGGAAUCGCGAUAUUAAGAAUUUAAAAAGGCUAUGACAGAUUCCAUAGGGCACUACAUUAGGUCAGUGCUAAUAGCCAACUGGAGAUUUGAAAAUAUGACUUAAGUUUCCAAUUGACUGUUUAAAAAAAAAAAAAAAUCUUAAAUACAUUAAAAAUUAUAUUAUAAUAAUUGCUGGUUUAGGCCUGGUUGGGGGCAACUUAGGCCUGGUGGGAAACCCUGUACAUGUAUUACAGACAGAUGUGGUAAUAGCCUACAUGUAGCUUAGCACAAGGACUGGAGGCUAGGCUAACACUUAGCUAAACCCACCCUGGGCCUGUCUGUCUCUACUGGAGAGAUCUGUACAAGAUGAGAUGAACUCAUCCAGAUCCCUCAUCCAACUGUGGCUGACCGCAGCUAACGGCUAUUUCCCAAAUGUUUCUUUGAGAUUUCAAGGUCUUAUGAUUUCAUUUCAUUCCGUUAGCUUUCAUUGAUGCCGAUGACAUUUCUGCUGCUUUUCCAUGUUUCGUGUUUUUGCACAUUUUCUGCAGUGAGUCAUGGGAACGGGGCCAUGCUAGUUUAUUUCGAUACAUUUUAUAUUUCUUUAUUUCUCAUGGACGGUGAAUGUUUUUUGAAUGCUCAACUAUUUUGCAAACUUGUGGGUUGUAUUUGGCCCAUAAUUCCUCAAGUGAUUCUUCAUAUAGCUUCAUAUGUUCCUCGCUGUACGUUUCCUCAUGUUUUUGUUUAGACGUUUAAUAUUUCACUGAUGAACAUGAAUCUGAAGCUGUUCAUCCUCUUAGUUUUAAUACAAUUUGGAGACUCAUCAUUCCUAGAAAUAUUGCAUUCAGCAAAGAAAAAGAAACUCACAAUUAUGACUUCCAUAUAAUAUUUUGUGACUUACUUAUGGAUGCACCAAUCCAACGUUUUCACUCCCGAUACCUGAGCUUUGGGUACCGAUCCGAGGCACUCUCACACCGAUCUGAUCUAACAAAUAAUUGACACGUUUUAGUUUAGUUUAUUUCAAUCACAUAGAUACACAACAUCGCACACAUAACAUAAAUGAUGAUAAACAAAAACUGUCACCUUAAUUCAUACGGUGUCAUCUUAACUCAUUUAUAAUCAAUACUGACCCAAAAGGUUGAAGCAUUUGCUUAUUACACCGACCCUUUUUACAUUCUAUUUUAUUUAUAUUUUGUUCUAAGGUCCCUCAGAAUCUUAACACUUAAGUGUAUUAUUAAUUUCUGUAUAUUAUAUACAUAUAACAUAUUAAAACACAUUACGUGCAGAAGAUAUGAAAUAAAACAAAACAAAAUGCAUUCCCGUUCAUAUACACGUUGCCAUACAGCCUCACUUUUAUAUUUUUGUUUAGCAUCUUCUUUUUUAGUAUUUUCUUUUGAAAUCUUUGUAGUGUGUUGCACAAGUCUCACGGUGUAAGAAGUGACUUAAAGCUGGCCUCACUUUGUAAAACUAAAUAUAACAAAUACAUGGAUACACAUUUACAGAAUUGGUAGUUAUUAAAAUAAUGAACAAUAAAGAAUAGAUCGGCCCCAUUGCCACCUGAUCCAGCUGUUAAUAUUGGCCUGAUAUCAGUAUUAGAUCGGUGCAUCCUCAUAAUUAUCUGACGUGAUCAUAAUUAUGGGAUUUCUCAUAAUGAGAAAGUUCCCAUUGUUUUUCCAUAAUGAGUGAAAUACUCUGGUUCAUAAGAUAGAUUGCUGUUAGAAUCUCAGUUCUGAGUCCCAAUUCACAACUAUGGGUAUGGUAGUUAUACAUGUGAAUGCACAGAUAACUGUCUACAGUUUGAAUAACAUUUGACAAAGUGAUGAACAAUAUAUGAUAUUGAGGAUUAUGGACAGAAGUUCUCGGUGUGUUGAGA